UACGACUACAUAUCAGGCAUAUCAAUAAGCGGAGGAAAAGAAACUAACAAGGAUUCCCUUAGUAACGGCGAGUGAAGCGGGAAGAGCUCAAAUUUGAAAUCUUCAAGGUUUUACCUUGACGAAUUGUAGUUUAAAGAAGUGUUUUCUGUUGGAGUUUCGGUAAAAGUUCUUUGGAAUAGGACAUCAUAGAGGGUGAGAAUCCCGUAUUUGACCGUUACUUUCCAGCUGUGUGAUACACUUUCAAAGAGUCGGAUUGUUUGGGAAUGCAGUCCAAGAAUGGGUGGUAAAUUUCAUCUAAAGCUAAAUAUUGGCGAGAGACCGAUAGGCGAACAAGUACCGUGAGGGAAAGAUGAAAAGAACUUUGAAAAGAGAGUUAAACAGUACGUGAAAUUGUCAAAAGGGAAGCGUUUGACACCAGUGUUGUUUAGUUGAAAAUCAAUUCAAUAGUUUUUGAUUCUAAGUAGUAUUGACUUCAUCAGCUUGCUGCUUUCUUCUCAGAAAUUAUUGAAUGCACUUUUCAGUUAACAAGUCAACAUCAAUUUCUUUUGUUGUAAAAGGGUAAGAGGAAGGUGGCUUGCGCUUCGGCUCAAGUGUUUAUAGCCUUUUAUCUCUGCAAUCGGAGAGAUUGAGGUCUGCAGCGUAGAUCCUUCGGGGUUAGAUACAUUGGUGCUAAGCUAUAGCCUUGUAUAGACAACUUGUUGACUAUGCUCAGUCAUGUAGCUUACUCGCUGAUGCUAUUUUACCUACGCUUAGGAUGUUGAGUAGCGACAUACGCAC
rnacentral:rRNA from 1 species